UGCCAGCCGCCGCGGUAAUACGUAGGGGGCGAGCGUUGUCCGGAAUUAUUGGGCGUAAAGCGCGUGUAGGCGGCUAGGUAAGUCUGGUGUGAAAUCUUGGGGCUCAACCCCAAGCCUGCACUGGAUACUGCCCAGCUAGAGUCCGGGAGAGGAGAGUGGAAUUCCCAGUGUAGCGGUGAAAUGCGCAGAUAUUGGGAAGAACACCGGUGGCGAAGGCGGCUCUCUGGAACGGAACUGACGCUGAGACGCGAAAGCGUGGGGAGCGAACAGGAUUAGAUA
rnacentral:rRNA from 1 species